UCCCAGGACAACCUUCACUAGCACUUGAAGGGAGUCCGAGUGGUGAACUACUCACAACUCUCUUACUGAUUGGGAUCUGGAUCUUAGUCUUUUUUAUCUGAAAUAGUUAAUGAAAGGGUGAGCUACACUACCUUAGUAAGAAUAUCAUACUAAUCACAAAUACAGAAAAUUAAAAAUUGGUAAAAAUUAUAAAAUAACAAAUAGAGCUCUUAAUAAAGAAAACCGUUUAUUCUGUACUUAUCGUAACAAGUUUUCUAAAAACAAACUAUGAAGGUUCAUAUUCAUACCACUUUUUAUUUUCACGCAUAAGAGAACAAGAGACGAUAACUUUCAUUUUUUACCUGCUUACUAGUAUCCCUGGGGGUCCAUAGGGAUGUCCCCCUACUUGUGAACCCAAUAUCCAAAUCAAACAAUUAACUGGUCGUCCCCAUACCACGUCCGGUAAUGGAAGCCAAAUAUUCUAUCGCCUCGAUACCCCGUUCAAUAUGAAAGUGAAUCAUAUCUCCCAAACUUUAUCGGUAAGAGACUUCCUAGCCUUAUUCGACUAAAGUAACAUUCACGGUAGUAUUUUCUAUGCACCAGGUCCGUCUGCCCUUUCCCUGGGUACCCAGUAAGUCUUUCACAUAAAUAUUUUCAUCAACAAAACAACCAACAACACAUACCACUAUCUCAUAUUACAUUUACAUAUCUAUUAAACUAUAUUCAUGCUGACGAUAUAUAAUCAAAUAAACUAGAUAAAUUGAUAAUGCUAUAAAAAAUAUAAUUUAAGAACACACACCAUUUAAUAACAAGUAAAUAUAGCAGUACAAUAAAAUAAAUCAGAAAUCGGGACAAUCUUAAACUAACUGAUUUCAGCUCCACUAGUAACAUGUAAUUAUUUUUAGGAUUUUUUAAUUUUUAUAAAAAUAUGAAAUUAUACAUCGUUGAACCUCAAUUUACUGUAACGGAGAAUAGACUGAGAGAUCUUUAUCCGGAUUGAUAUUUCGAGACGUUGCAUUGUCUACUACGUCUCUCAACGAGUACCGAAUUUCCUGAAUUUUUCCUGUGAAAAUCCAAAACACUCGUCACAUACCUAAAAAUACCGUAAAAAUCCAAAAUCAGUGUCCAAGACUCUUUUCGGCCAAUUUUAGAGUUUCAGCACAAUAGUGUCGUGCUCCGGUGCCGGCUCCGCUGGCCACGGCAGCGGUUCGCCUCAUCUUGACCGAUUUUGGUCGGUUUUGUAUGUAUUCAUACAGAAAAAUAUGUUAAGAGGUCUCGGUUCGCCUGGAAAUAAAAAAAAAAGAACCUACCAGCAGGGGGAGUCCUUCAGGUGCGAUGGCUCCGCUGGUCCUCAUUCGCGGCUUGGGGUUCUUUCUUAGGGUAACCUUUUCAUAAAAGGACGGUGAACAUAAUGAUCAGAAAAUUGCGUGAAAUGAAAAGCAAGAAAGGGCUCAUCAGAAUGAUUUUUUGGGAUUUGCUCGCAGUUUUUAGCUUACCGGCCGUCCUUCUUACUCUGAUUUUACCACAAGGAUGCUUAGAAUCGAAUUUCAAAUGGGUAGAGAGAAUUUUACCUUUUUUGGCGGUCGACGGUAGCUUCGAUACGACAGUAAUUAGUGGUCGACCUUCUUCUCCGACACCUGAUUCUUCUUCUCUAGCGGGGGCUAGGGAGUAGGGUUUGGGUUCCCAUACAACGUGAAGUAUUUAUAUUCAUCUUGCGUUGAUCUGGGCCGUUAAUUACGAUUGAUCUCGUCCAUCCAAUCGUGCUUAAGGAGGAAAAGAAUCUGGGUCGUUUAUUGCGAUUGAUUUCAUCUGUUCGAUCACAGCUAAGGAGGGAACGAAUCCGAGUUGUCUACAUGUGCGGGAUUGAUCUUGGGCUAUCUAAUCACUGGGCAAGCGGAUCACCUGUGUGGCCUCCCACAUGGCAACGACGUCAGCUUGUCUUGCCAUGCGGCAUGCUCUGGCUUGUCGGGACUGCAGAUUGGGCCGUCCUACGUGGCUGAAUUUUUUCUUUUUACACUUUGACUUCCUAUUUCUAAUUUUUUUUUUUCAAAAACACUCUCCGAACUCAAAUUUUCACCUAUUUUUUCUAAAAUUAUUUUCGAUUAUAUCCCUAAUCUAUUUUUUUCAAUAAUUUAACAAAAUUAAAUUAAAUUAGUUUAUAAAUAAUAUAUUUAUUUAUUUUUAAAUUAUUGAAAUUGAUCUCGGGCUAAUUUUCAGACCCGGGGAUUACAAAUUAAGGGAACACAUACUUGAUCAUUUAUAUUUGAUAACAAUAUGCAUAAUUUUUUAUGACACUUUGCAUGUUAUACGUAUAUUGGUUGCUAAAGUUUUUUAUCUAUUAAUUAGUUACUAAAAUACCUUUUAAUACUUAUUUAACAAGGUAUUUCAACUUAUCUAUACAUAAUUAGACGCUCAUAUGUAAAUUUUCUACAUAUUUAUUAUCUGGGAUAUUCAUAAAACCUACAUGAAUUUGUCAUGUAUAAGAUUUAAUAGAAAAAUGUAUGGUUUUUAAUACUAUAUUUGUCAAAAUUAUGUGCUACAAGUUAAUUAAGUUACCAUAUAUAAUUAUUUUACACUGUGAUUAAAAAAAGUUAUAAACUCAAGUAAAAUUAGUUGUACUGUGUGUAUAACACUUAAUAUUAUUUUUCAAAUUACAUAGAAUCAAAUAAGAGAAAAAAUAUGAGGGAAAAAUCUCUCUUCUUUUUCGUUUUUUUUAAUUUUUUUUUCAUCAUAAGUGGGGAAUACACAUGAAAAAAAAGAAACGAAAAUAAUUUUUCCUUUGUGAUUUAUCUUUAAUGGCAUUUAAUGUAAAAGUUCAAAAUUAGAAAAAAAAAUAAUAAUGAAAUUUAUUAAUUAGUGGAAGUAGUUUACAAUUUAGGAUUAGAUUUCUUACACAAUUUGAUUAAAACGCCCAAUAGGGUUACGGGAAUGUCCUUAAAGAACAUAAAUAAAAAAGUGUAUUAAGAAAAACUAAUGUGAUCAACUUAUGUUCGAAGUUGAAAAAACAGAGAGACAAUCUUCUAGAUAGUUUUAUUGUUAUCCAGGAUCCGGAUCUUGGUCGUCCUGAUAUAAAAUAGUUAAUAAUAAAGGAGUGAGCUACACUAAUUCAGUAAGAAUAUCAACGCCUUACCACUGAUACGGAAAAUCGAAGGUUUGUAGAAAUUGCAAAAAAAUCAAUAGAGCUCAUUUUUAAAUAAAAUCGUUUAACUGAAAACAUUAAUUUUCUUAACUUAUAUGCAAGUUCCUAAAUGUCAUUUAUGAAUAUAAGAAUCAUAAUAGUAAUUCACACUAUGCAUUCUAAAAGACCAACAACAAUUUACCUUUAUCAUUUCAACUUACCUACCAGUUUUGUUGGGGUUCAUAGGGGUCCCUACUACACGUGGACCAAAUAUUCAUUCUAUAAAUCAAACCACCAUUCCCAUAUCUCAUCCCGUAAUGGGCGCAAAAUAUAUAACUGCCUCAAUACUCCAUCCAUUAUGAGCAUAAUCAAAACAAUUCUCAACCCCUUCCGAUAUGGAACUUCUCAACCCCGUUCGACUGCAGAUAAUGUCCACGGUAGAGUUUACCGUAUGCACCAAGUCCAUACACUUUUUCCCUAAGCACUCGGUAAGCCCCAUUUAUUUGACACCAUAUGUUUAUGCAUAUGCUUUAUAUUAUCUAGCACUUAGCCCUAAAGGGUCCGUACAUCUAUAUCACAAACAUAUAAGUGCACUUAUUAAGAUAGUUACAAGAAUUAAGGAUGCAUUAUACCGAUAGAAACAUGUUAUACACACAACAGAGUGACCGGAUGACAUAGAUUGAGAAACCUUACCACGUUAGCCAUAGAUUUAAAGUGAAUAAAUUAAACUAAGCAGAAUAGUGAAUAGAUAAGCAUAAUAAACGACCAAAGAAUGUAAAUGCUGCAGUUGAAGCUCAAAAUAGGUAUAAACUGAUCGGUUAAUUGCUCAAUUUGCUACCUGUACUUAAUUAAUUAAAGGAUCGCCAAUUAACUAAAAAUUUAUUUAUUAUUAGUUUAGUUUCAAUUUACCGUAACAUGAAAAAGAGGUGUUGGAUUAUUACCAUGAGUCGGUGUCCGUAAGACUGUCUUUUGCACUAUAUUUCCCGGUGGUUCCCAAUUCUUGGAUUUAUUGAGUUUUUUUAACUAAAAUCAAAACUUACGUCAAAAUAAUGUGGAAAUAUGCAAAAAAGGCCAAAAUGACAAAAAAUUCUCAUUGGGAGUCAGUUUAGGAUUCUAGCACGGCGAUGCCGCUGUGCUCUGUCAUCGACUCCUCUUUCUACGGUGGCUUUUCCUAUCGGUCAGGUCAGUUUCGGCCAGUUCUGGGUGAAAACUUAUUCAUUUUGGGGUUAAACAGUGACUCUCGGUGGAAAAAUAAAAAAAAAUGAAGCUUACCAGUGAUUCUAGCUUUCCGAUGUGAUGGCUCCACCAAGCCCUGUCACUUUUUCCUUGCGAUCGAGAUUUUCUUUUUGCUACCCUACAUUGAAAAAUAUGUAGAUGGCCUAGGGUCGAGAAACAGGAGAAACGAGAAAGGGUUUCGGGUUCACCGUAGUGUUUUCUGAUUUCGGGUGUGACGGCUCAGCCGAGUUCUGCCCUUCAUUUGCGGCUUUUCCUCAAGUUUUUCUACAUGAAUAAGUGUUUUGAGUAGCUUAAAAUUGAAAAAUGGGAUGAACCAGAGAAAUUGCAUUUACUAGUGUCGAUUUGAAUCUCUGGUGCAGUGACGACGGUGGUCGACUUCUCCUCAGGCCACUCCCAUUUUUCUUCUUCUUUGGUGAGCAGGUAUACGACUAAGGUUAAGAGUUUUGGUGGAAAAUGAGUUUAAAUACUUCCCCUCUCUCAAUCUGGGCCAUCCAUCUAGGUUCGCAUGGUGCCUCCUCAAUCGUCUGAUUGCGCCUAAUAGGGGAAUGGAUUUGGACCACUCGAUCGAAGGCGUGUGGACCAUCCAAUUGCGCUUAAUGAGGGAACGGAUCUGGGCUGUUCGUGCGUGCGGGAGUGAAAAUGAGCUGUUAGAUCGAUUGGCACGCGAUUUUCUCGCAUGAAACGUGUGUUGGCAUGUCUUCCACACCGCACACGAUGACUUUGAUGUGACCGUCCUACAUGACCAUUUUUCUCCUUUUUGUGAUUUGAUCCUUGCUUUCAAUUUUUGUUUUCAAAUAGGUUCUCUCUUAUUUCUAGUUUGACUCCUUCCUUUCAAAAAUAUUUUUAAAGACAUCCAAAAUACUUAUAUCUAAAGAAAAAUUAAAAAAAAUUAAAAUUAAAUGUUAUUAUUAUUAUUUUUAAAAUUAAAUCUAUGUCAUCCCGAGCCUAAAUUCUGGGCUCGGGAUGUUAUAACUCUUUCCCCCUUAAGAAAAUUUGAUUUCUCAAAUUACUGUUCCAUAAUUAAACAAUUAAGGAUACUGGGUCCUGAAGUCUGAUUCCAACUCCCAUGUGGCCUCGUCCUGUGAGUGAUUUUUUCAUACUACUUUAAUAAAAAGGAUUUCUCUGUUGCGAAGUACUCUACUCUUUCGGUCUAAAAUACUAACUAGUACCUCCUCAUAAGAUAAAUCUUUUUGAAGUGAAAGUGGCUUGUAUGACAAAACAUGUAAGGGGUCAGGGUUAUACUUACAUAACAUCAAUAUAUGGAAGAUGUUAUGGACUCUGGAUAGUUCUGGAGACAGUGCUAAUCUGUAGGCAGAUAUCCCAAUUUUGUCUAAAAUUUCAAAUGAUCUGAUGAACCAGGAGUUUAACUUUAUCCUCUUUCCAAACCUGGUGAUGCCCUUAAAUUGGGUGAAUUUAAGGAACUCUCGAUCGCCUUUAUCAAAUUCUAAAUCUUUUAUUCGGGUGCCUGCAUAACUUUUUUGUCUACUCUGGGUCGUCUGAAUAUUUUUCUGAUAUUGACAAUCUUCAUUGUGGUCUCAUCUACAAGAUCUUGGCCAAUCAAUCUUAUAGGACAAAACAUGUGAGAGGUCAGGGUUAUAUUUACGUAGCAUCGACACAUGAAAGACGUUAUGAACUUUGGAUAGUUCUAGAAGAAGUGUUAGUCUAUAGGCGGAUAUCCCAAAUCUGUCUAAAAUUUUAAAAUGGUUCGAUGAACUGGGAGUUCAACUUUCUUCUCUUUUCAAACCUGGUGAUGCCCUUAAAAGGGGUGACUUUAAGGAACACUCGAUUGUCUUUAUCAAAAUCUAAAUCUCUUAUUCGGGUGUCCGCAUAACUUUUCUGUCUAUUCUGGGCCGUCUGAAUAUUUUUUCUGAUCUUGACAAUUUUCACUGUGGUCUCAUCUACAAGAUUUGGGCUAAUCAAUUUCCCGUCAUCCACUUUUUCCCAACAUAUCGGUAACCUAUAAGGUCAGCCAUACAAUAUCUCAUAUGGAGCUAUACCAAUACUUGCCCGAUAAUUGUUUUUGUAGGCGAACUCUACCAGGGGUAGGCAAUCAUCAUAGUGCCCUCCAAAAUCUAGAACAUAAGCCCUGAGCAUAUUCUCCAGUGUGCGAAUAGUUUGCUUUGAUUGUCCAUCUGUCUAGGAGUAGAAUGUUGUGUUAAGAAACAAUUUCGUCCCCAUUGCUUAUUAAAGAUUUGUCCAAAACUAAAAAGUGAACCUGGGGUGCCUAUCUGAUACCACUGUUACAGAAACUUCAUGUGGUAUGACUAUCUCCCGGAUAUAGAUUCUAGCUAGCUUUUUCAAAGAAUCUUUCAUUUUGAUGGUCAGGAAAUGGGAGGACUUGGUGGUCGGUUAACAUUCACCUAGAUCACAUCGUGUCCCAAACAUACCUUAGGCAAUCAUGUUAUAAAGUCCAUAGUGAUAUGUUCUCAUUUCUACUCCGGGAUUGGUAACGGCUGGAGUAGCCCGCCUGGACGUUAAUGCUCUAUUUUGACAUGUUAGCAUACAAGGCACUUAGAGAUGAAAUCAACAAUUUUUCUUUUCAUCCCACUCCACCAGAAUCAGAGCCACAUGUUUUGAUACAUCUUAAUACUUUCUAGAUGCAUGGUGAACUUUGAACUGUGAGCCUAUGUCAUGAUUUCUUUCUUCAAUUUGCUGUCACUAGGAACACACAAACUAUCCUAGAACCUGAGCAACCCAUUAGUAGAGACUCAAAAUUCUGAAUUUAAACCCUAUUAUGUGUCAUUUCUGAGAGCUCCUAGAGUGAGAUUUACCAGUUGAGCCUCCUUUAUUUUCUAGAUUAACUCGAGUUGGACUGCUACAUGAGCUAGAUAUGUGGCCCUUUUCAAGUCUUGGAGCUGUAUCUGCUGUGCGACUUUUAUCAUCAUGCACUUAUAGACUAUUAUGUGAGGUAACAUACCUGCAUUCUUCAUGCUAAGGGUGUCAACUACCCCAUUACCUUUGUCCGGGUGAUACAUGAUCUUAUAAUCGUAAUAUUUAAGGAGUUCUGUCCAAUACCUCUUACGCACGUUGAGGUCCUUCUGUAUGAAUAUAUGUUUUAAGCUCUUAUGAUCCGUAUAGAUUUUAAAUAUUUUUUCAUAUAAUUAAUGGCGCUAGGUCUUCAAGGUGUGGAUAAUGACGGCAAGCUCUAAGUCGUAUGCGAGGUAAUUCUUUUCUUGAGUUUUUAAUUGUCUGGACCAAUAAACUAUGACAUUUCCAUGCUGCAUCAGAACGUAACCCAGUCCUUAGUAGGACACAUCACUAUAUGCUGUAUACUCACCCAUUUCAUUCGGCAGAGCCAAGACUGGUGCGGUAGUAAGUCGUUCUUUAAGUUCUACAAAGCUCUUUUCACAUUUCUCAUUCCACUCAGACUUGAUAUUUUUCUUUGUAAGUUGUGUUCAGGGGGAUAAUCCUUCUACAAAACUGUAGUAAUAACCUGCCAUACCCAAGAAACUUCGAACUUCCUUGACCGAAGUCAACUGUUUUCAACCCAUUACUGCAUCAAUCUUGUCGGGAUUUACUGAUACUCAUUCUUUUGAUAUUAUGUGCUCUAUAAAGGAAGUCUAUUCGAGCCAAAACUCAUACUUACUUAAUUUUGCAUAUAGUUUUUUUUUUCCUGAGAAUCUGUAAGAUCUGAGUUAGAUGCUGAACGUGUUCCUCUCUCCUCUUAGAGUAGACUAAGAUAUCAUCAAUUAAUACUAUGACAAACUGAUCCAAGAAUGGCCUGAAGAUCCUGUUUAUCAAAUCCAUAAAAAUUUCAGGUGUAUUAGUCAAUCCGGACGGUAUGAUCAGGAACUCAUAGUGCCCAUACCAGAUCUUAAAAUUUAUCUUAAAAAUGUCUUCUGCCUUCAUUUUCACCUGAUGGUAUUCUGAACGCAGGUUGAUCUCAGAGAAAAUCUGAGUACCUUGUAAUUGGUCAAAAAGAUCAUCAAUCAUGGGAAGGGGGUACUUGCUCUUAGUUGUGACCCUAUUCAGUUCUCUGUAGUCAAUACACAAUGUCAAAGAUUCAUCACUUCUCCUUACGAACGUGACCCCGACACUCUAAGGGGAUAUGUUAUGUCGGAUGGACCCAUUAUCCUACAACUUAUUGAUCUGUUUCCUCAGUUCUUUCAUCUCGACACGACUCAUUCGGUAUGGAGUAACCGAGAUGGGUUGGGUGCUAAGCUGAAGAUUUAUGAAAAAUUUGACUUCUCGAUCUACUAGCAGCCUUAGUAGUUCAUAAGGAAAUAUGUCUAAAAUAUCUCGGACAGCAAAAAUAUAUUGAAUGCAAAUAUCUUUCUUAGGUUUGCCUAAUGUGAAAAGAAUAGUUGAGUUAAAGACAUUUGAUGAAUAAUGGAGUUACCACGUAUAAACAAUACCUAAAUUUUUUAUUAAUUCAUGAAAGACUCUUCGUUAGGAAUAUUGAAUACAAGCUUCUUAUGAAAAUAGUCUACAGUAGCAUGAUAUGACGCUAACCAGUUUAUUUCCAUAAUUAUAUCAAAAUUCCAAAUGUCUAGUGUUAUCAGAUCUACGCUCAAUUCUCUACAUGCUAUUUUUAAUAAACGAGCUUUGUAUAUAACAUUUCUCAAUGUCCCGUUUUCAUGUGUGGACACAAAUAGUACAAAAUUAAGACUUUAAUGUAACACAUUUAAAUUUUUAGUAAAAACAUGUGAAACAAAAAGAAUAUAAAGCACUAGUAUAAAUUAAAAUAUGUGCAAGGUGGUUGCAGGUAGUACACGUACCCUGUAUUACAUCUGGAUUGGUUUCAGCAUCCUGCUGGGUGAGUGUAUAGAUUAUGCCUUGAACUGCUAGUUUAGUAUGAUUCUGAUUUCGCAGACACUCUCUCGCGUAGUGUUGAACACUCCCGUAUAUGUAGCAGAUGUUAUUAAGGUGAUAGUAAUGUCGGUCUUUAUGAUCCUUACCACAGUACCGGCAAACCUUACCACGUCCUUUUACCGAGGCCUAAGAAGGAGCUUGAGUUGCAGGCCUUCGUCUCUUGUUCUGCUGGUUCGUUGCAGUAAGUGCUGGUCUGUGAUGCGAAACUGGGGGCUUGNNNNNNNNNNNNNNNNNNNNNNNNNNNNNNNNNNNNNNNNNNNNNNNNNNNNNNNNNNNNNNNNNNNNNNNNNNNNNNNNNNNNNNNNNNNNNNNNNNNNNNNNNNNNNNNNNNNNNNNNNNNNNNNNNNNNNNNNNNNNNNNNNNNNNNNNNNNNNNNNNNNNNNNNNNNNNNNNNNNNNNNNNNNNNNNNNNNNNNNNNNNNNNNNNNNNNNNNNNNNNNNNNNNNNNNNNNNNNNNNNNNNNNNNNNNNNNNNNNNNNNNNNNNNNNNNNNNNNNNNNNNNNNNNNNNNNNNNNNNNNNNNNNNNNNNNNNNNNNNNNNNNNNNNNNNNNNNNNNNNNUGUACCGUGGUGGUACUGGAUCCUCUUGGUGUGGAGGUGGCUUAUACUAUGGCAGUGGAGAGGAAUCAAACAACUUCUUUCUCUCAUCCCUGGCCUGCUGGGCAGAGAUGAGUCUCUCAAGCAUCUCGAAGAGCCGAUCAACAUCCUCCUGAAGUGAUCCCUCAUGUGCUGCUCUAUUUAGCGGAGACUUUUCUCUCCUCAUGUUCUUAUACCUAUAUUUCAUAACAAAAGUUUGAUAUUCGAGUUGCAUUAAAUUACUCUAACCAUAUAUGCAAGGAAUGGCUCCGAGGAACGCGGAUUUGAUACCAACUGUAAAAGCCUAAAAUUAGGAAAAUAAAAUAACACUGAAAUUUAUUAAUUGGUGGAAGCAAUUUAGAGUUUAGGGUUAUAUUCCUUACACAGUUUGAUUAAAACACCCAAUAGGGCUACGAGAAUAUUCUUAAAGAACAUAAAUGAAAAAAUAAUAAGAAAAACUAAUGUGAUCAACCUCUGCUCGAAGCUGAAAAAAUGGAGAGAUAACCUUUUAGCUAGUUUUCUUGCUGUUCAGGAUCCGAGUCUUGGUUGUCCUGAUAUGAAAUAGUUAAUAAUAAUGAGAUGAGCUACACUAACUCAGUAAGAAUAUUAACGCUUUACUACUGAUAUGAAAAAUUGAAGGUUAUAUAAAUUGUAAAACAACCAAUAAAGCUCAUUUUUAAAUAAACUCGUUUAACUGAAAAUAUUAAUUUUCUUAACUCACCUGCAAAUUCUUAAAUGCUAUUUAUGAAGAUAUGAAUCAGAAUAGUAAUCCACACUACGCAUUCUAAAAGACCAACAACAAUUUACCUUUAUCAUUUUCACUUACCUACAAAUGCUGUUGGGGGUCCAUAGGGAUCUCCACUACAUAUGGACCAAAUAUUUAUUUUAUAAAUCAAAUGGUCGUCCCCAUACCUUGUUUGGUAAUGGGUGCCAAAUAUAUAAUCGCCUCAAUACCUUGUCCGGUAUGAGUGUAAUCAAAAUAAUUCUCAACUUUUCCGGUAUGGGACUUCUCAGUCCCGUUCUACUAAGAGUAACAUGCACGGUAGAGUUUACCCUAUGCACUAUUUCCAUACACUCUUUUCAUUAAUACCCGGUAAGCCCUGUUAAUUUGACACCACAUGUUCAUGCAUGUGCUUUCUAUUAUCUAGCACUUAGCCCUAAGGGGUGUCCGUACAUCUAUAUCACAAAUAUAUAAGUGCACAUAUUAAGAUAGAUACAUGAAUUAAGGAUGUAUUAUACUAAUAGAAAUAUGUUAUACACACAACAGAGUGACUGGACAACAUAGAUUGAGAAACCUUACCAUGUGUUAACCAUAGAUUUAAAGCGGAUAAAUUACAGUAAGCAGAAUAGUGAAUAGAUAAGCAUAAUAAAUUACUGAAGAAUGUAAAUAUUGCAAUUGAAACUCAAAAUAGGUAUAAACUGACUGGUUAUUUGCUCUAUUGGCCACCUGUACUUAAUUAAUUAAAGGACUGCUAAUUAACUAAAUUUUUUUUAUUAUUUGUUUAUCUUCAAUUUAACCGUAACAUGGAAAAAGGGUGAAAGAUUCUUAACUUGGGUCGGUGUCUGUAACACCACCUUUUUCAUUACGCUUCCUGGUGGUUCCCAAUUCCUGAAUUUCUUGAGUUUUUAUGCUAAAAUCAAAACUUACGUCAAAAUAACGUGAAAAUAUGCAAAAACAACCAAAAAGGCAAAAAAAUCUCACAGGGGGUUGGUUUAACACCGUCGUACUCCACUGCUGGUUCCUCUUUCUACGGUGGCUCCUCUUCUCGGUUAGGCCUGUUUCAGCUGGUUCUGGGUUAAAACCUGUUUAUUUUGGGGUUAGGCGAUGUCUGUCAGUGAAAAAAUGAAGAAAACUGGAGCUUACCGGUGGUUCUGGCUUCUUAGUGCAGUGGUUCUGCCGAGCUCUGCCCUUUUUUUCUCGCGGUCGCGACUUUUCUUCGGCUACCCUGCACCGAAAAACAUGUUAGAUGACCUAUGGUCGAGAAACGGGAGGAGUGAGAAAGGGCUUCGGGGUCACCAGAGUGUUUUCCAGUUUCGGGUAUGGCAGUUGAGCCGAGUUACGCCCUCCGUUUGCGGCUUUUCCUUGAGUUGUCCUACAUUAAGAAGUGUUUUGGGUAGCUUACAAUGGAAAAAGGGACGAAUGGGAUAAAAUUACACUUACCACCGUCGAUUUGGGUCUCCGGUGCAACGACUUCGGCGGCCGGUUUCUCCGGCCACCCUUCUUCUUUUUCUUCGGCGAGCAGGUGUGUGGCUAGGGUUAGGGUUUCAGUGGAAGAGAAUUUUAAAUACUCUUCCUCUCUCAAUUUAGGUCGUCCAUCUGGGUUCGCGUGUUGCCUCCUCAGCCGUUCGAUUGUGCCUAAUAGGGGAACAUAUUUGGGACGUUCGAUCAAAGGCGUGUGGACCAUUCGAUCGUGCUUAAUGAGGAAAUAGAUCUGGACUGUUCUUACGCGUGAGAGUGAACACGAGCCGUUAGAUCUCAUGGUACGCAGAUUGCCUGCGUGGAAUGCGUGCUGGUGUGUCUGCUAUGUGGUGCAUGACGACUGGCCGUACUGCUAAUGUGACCGUCCUAUGUGGCCGUUUUUUUUCUCUUUUUUGCAAUUUGGCCCUUGCUUUCAAUUUUUCUUUUCAAAUAAGUUCUCUUUUAUUAUCAGUUUGACUUAUUCUUUUUGAAAAUAUUUUCAAAGACAUAAAAAAUGUAUAUAUUAAAAAAAAUAUUCAAAAAAAUUAAAAUUAAAUAUUAUUAUUAUUUUUAAAUUAAUUUAUAUCAUCCCGAGCCGAAAUUCUGGGUUCGGAAUGUUACAUUUAACAUUUAAUGACAUUUAAAGGUUAUAGAAAAUUUUGCAUUCAAUUUAUAAUUAAAAAUAAUAAAAAAAUAGGAGAAACCCAUUCAGGAAUAAAAAAAGGCAUCAUGGUAUGAAUUUUAUCUCGAAAAAAUAACAUUAAUAAAAGGUUAUCAAUGGUAACUUAUGAAGGAUGACACUUAUUAAAAAUUAAUUGAAUUAUAAUUGUAGUUACGAAUAUUAUAAGUGGUUUAAAGAAAAUAAUAUAAGUAAUUAAUACGGAAAAAUCUUUUACAUUAUAGAUUAACGUUCUAAUUUGAACAACUAUAAAUAGUUUAAUGAUAUGAUAUUUAACCUUAUAUAAUUUCAGUUAUAUAUUUGUAUAAUAUUAGCUUCCUACAAUGACCUUAGAAAAUGCAUUAUUAUUUUAAACAUAAAUUUAAGUUUAAUAUGAUCAAGUAAUUAAAUAAAGUUAACAGUUAAUCUAGGAAACCUUUAAUUAUAAGUCAUCGUUAUAAUAUUUAAUAACUUAAUUAACAUUUAAUAUUUUAUUCAUAUUUAUUUAUUUAUUUAGUAAAAAGAGAAAAAUAUAAGAAUUUCUGAAAAUGUACCAACAUAUUCUAUAGAUCAAUAAUAAAUAAUAAAUAGUAAAAAAUUAACAAUAUUUUAUUUAUAAAAUUACGAAAUUAUAUAUAUUUUUAAAAUAAUAAAUGUAAUUAUAAUUAUACAAAAUUAUCAAAAGAGCUCGUAUCUAAUUUAUCCUCUAUCCGGAAGUAACACUGUUUCCCAAAUUAUAUUCGUCAGCGUGGCCUUCGGCAGGUUUGACAGGCAGUCAUAUAUAUACAUGUAUGGAUAUGCUGCCACAUGCCGCAUUUUUCUACCUUUCAAAUUAAACUGAUACUCAAUCUACGCAAUCACCCAUAUAUAAGCCUUUUUCAUUAUUCCGUUUAAGUCUUCUGCUUCUUCUUCCAUAAUCUGCUGCAGCUUCUAACUAUGAGGAAAAAUUUCACUGUUUCGAUCAGGCAUUUUUUCGGUACGACUUAUUUUUUCUUCCAUCUUCUGCAAACUUUCUAUUUCUGCUUCUUGUUCAACUUGAUUUUGUAUCAAAAGUUUUGUUACUUCCGAAUACACUGCUUGAAUUUCCGUUCGCUUUCUAUCUUGUCGUUGGCAUUAGUGUAUUUUUAGUUUUUUACACUUACUUCUAAUCAUUAUUAGUUUAGAAGAUGAAGAAUAUCAGAGUUCUUAGGUUAAUAUACGUAGUGAUUUUAGAUUUGCUAAAUUACGAGAAGUGUACUUACAAUUUUGGGUUUUGUUAAGAAAUUACUGAAUGUGCAAUUACUAAGGAAAAAAAAUGUUAAAGUUAAUUCUGUGACUUUCAUUGAGUUAAGGGAUUCUUUUUCAGAUUUGUCUAAUUACUGCAAGUGAAAUUUCAGUUUAUUCAAUUCCUUGAACGCUUUCAAUUCAAUCCUCCAACCUAAACCUAAGAGAAAAAUGCGAAGGCUUCUAUUUGCAGACUGCAGACUUGAACAACGGAACAAUGUCCCUUUUUUGAAACCUUUUACGUUGGUUUCUCCAAGCUCACUAAAAAUUUUAGAUUGGUCUAGAUUGAUUCUUCACUUGAGUCUAUUUUAGAAGUAUUUUAUUUUGUGUAGUAAAGAAUAGAUGACCCCCACUCCCAUUUUGGCCCCAGAUAUCUGUAUAAUACGUUGUCAGGGGGCGGAGGGGGCCGUGGGGUGGGAAGGGAGACCCACUCCUAUUGUGACAUUGCCUUGUGAUUUUGGAUGCGGGUGGUUGGGUUGUUUGGCUUAGCUUGAGUCAUUCCCCCCAUGGUGGAGUGUUUUAUGAGUUCAUGUUUAUGGACCUUAUGGCUUGAAAAGAAUAGGUGAAUCUUUAAUUAUUACUCUUUACAUAAUCAGGAUCUGUAGGCAAGGACAGACUUUUUGGCCAUACUAUGGGUGAAAGCUCCAGACGGCUUUUGGAAAUUACUCUCCCGGUGUUAUAUAGGAAUUGGGAGGCAAUAAUUUUGUAAUGCUUUGGGAUUGGAGUCUAUACUCCUCUGCUUGGUCUUAUGUAUUUUGAGUUUUCUUUUUGGUUGUUUUGAUUAUUGUAGUUGAAGUUUCGAGGAGGAUGUCUAAUUCUCCACAAAUAUACUUCUUUUUCUUUUCCCAAUGAACUUCUUUUCCUAUAAAAAAAACCCUGGAUCUGUUGGUUAUCAUAUUUGCUUGCUGUUUUGAGAAUUCAGCUUUAUUAAAACAUUUAUGUUCAAAAACUUUUAUGCCAUUUGGUGUAAUUUUGGUUUUUAAUCUGUAGCUGUUGGGAACUGUUUGCUUGUGGAGAUGGAUUAUAACAAAGAUGGAUGAUGCAAUUAGGUAUCUAUUUUGACAUGAUAGAAUGAAUUAUUAAAACAAAUAAGGAAAAUGAGCAAAUUAUUACCGGAAUCCUGUCUCCCUGUAGGGGCAGGUAUGGGGACUGGCAAAGCGUCCCUAACAGGGAGUCCCUGUUGGUGUUGGGAGGUUGGAGUUUGGGCAAUAAGGGAUUCUUUCCCAAACUCAUCCUGUUUCUGUCUCUGCUAAACUUUAAAGUUUUCAAAAAGUAAAUUAAAGGUAGUACAUGCAAAGCAUAGAAUCAUGGGCAAGUAUACAGGUUGUAAUGCAAAGACAAAAAGAAAUGAAAGGGGAUUUUGUUUUAUAGCCAGCGAGGCAUCUCUUUCCAUUGGAUUUAAGGCAAUAUUAAAUUUGAGCUCCAUAAACACACACGACUGUUUAAGGUGAGAAACAAAUUUGUAUCAAUUCAGCUUAACAGUUUCCUUUUGUUGUAUUCAUCUAGUUUGAUGGGUCUAGUGGCCAUAACAAUCAGAGACUUGUUCUUCUGCUUCNNNNNNNNNNNNNNNNNNNNNNNNNNNNNNNNNNNNNNNNNNNNNNNNNNNNNNNNNNNNNNNNNNNNNNNNNNNNNNNNNNNNNNNNNNNNNNNNNNNNNNNNNNNNNNNNNNNNNNNNNNNNNNNNNNNNNNNNNNNNNNNNNNNNNNNNNNNNNNNNNNNNNNNNNNNNNNNNNNNNNNNNNNNNNNNNNNNNNNNNNNNNNNNNNNNNNNNNNNNNNNNNNNNNNNNNCAUUAAUUGAGAUAAUAUAUCUAACUUUCAUUAAAUUUGAUCUAUGGAAAUAUACAACUGCAAUUUUACUUGAAAUUUUCUUGAAGUUUGAUUUUCGUCAUUUCAAAGUUAAAUUUGUAUCUUCUUAUAGAUGAAUGAAGUACGAAGUUUUAAAUAAAGCCAAGAAAAAUAAUUAAUUUGUCCAAAUAUAACCUCAGAAUUAAAGAUAAUACUAUAUUUCAAAAAGAAAAAAAGAAUCAAGAUAAUACUCUCCCAAAGCAGCACACAGAUCAGGUUUCAAUAAGGAUUCCCUAAUGAGGGACUGUAGGAGAUUUCUUAGGGCUCUACUUUAUCCAUGCCGUUUGGCUUGCUUUAUCGAGUCGUCAAUUUGAAGAGUAACUUUAAAUCCAAAAAAAAAUUUAUCAUUAUGUCAUGUGGGUCUUUUGAGAAGUUUGGAAAAUUGAUAAGGAGAUUAUUCCACGGGACAUCAAUGCUAUUGCCUUUAUUUUUAUAGGAGAUUCUCCCUUGUUCUAAGUUAGGGUGCAAUACUAGUUUCUAGUUCUUAUUUUCUGCUACACCUAAAUGUGCAAUUCAUUUGAAUCUCUGCCUGCCAUCUUUUUUUUUCCCCCAAAUAUGCCUGUCGUCUUGAUCUUCUGAUUAAUGUUGAUAUGCAGCACAUCUACCUGCACAGCAUCCUUUUCCAUUUGUGUUUGGUCUGGUCUUCUUUUACAAGGAUGUACUUGCAUUUUUUACUUUAUUGCAGGUUCAUUGUGCUAGACGGUUCUAUGAGAAUCUUGUCCCAAGCUAUACGAUAUAUGAUGUUGAAUGCCCUGAUCAUUCAUUUCGUAAAUUCACUGAUGAUGGGCAAUACCUUAUUAGUUUCAGCAGAAAUCAGCAGUAUCUAAUUGUUUAUAGACCAACUUGGUUAUCGUUUUCAUGCAAAGAAGAAGAUUGUAUCACUCAUGAUCUUCCCCCUAAGGCAAAGAGGUUCGAGAGCUUCUUCACCCAGUUAUAUUCUGUAUCACUUGCUUCUUGCAAUGAACUUAUAUGUAAAGACUUCUUCCUCUACAUGGAAAGUAACCAAUUUGGUUUAUUUGCUACUUCUACGGCACAAAUUCAUGAUGCACCUGCUACUGGAGGUGCUGUUCAGGGGGUGCCAUUUAUAGAAAAAAUAACCUUUCAUCUCUUAAGGUAUGUGCUAUUUCUCUUAGGCAAAUGUUACAAAUUGUGGAAUCUUAUGAUGGACUUCUCUUCAUGACUGUAAUUCCAUUACUUGCAUUCGUAACAUCAUUAGUUGGAAAAUGGGGUAAUAUUGGAUGAGAAGGUUUUCCAUAAUGAUUUUGUCAAUUUGGGCCACAACAUGAGUGUCUUCUUGUAUGAGGAUCUACUGGCAAUUGUGUCACUUCGCUAUCAGAUGAUACACAUCCUCCAAAUUAGGGAUUCAGGUCAUCUUGUUGAUGUACGAGCUAUUGGUACCUUCUGUCGUGAGGAUGACGAACUUUUUCUCAACUCCAAUACUCAGGCAAGAUACAAUUAUUUUCUAGCAUUGUUGGGAUAACAUUUUUUUUUUUUGUUUUUGUUUUUGGUUUUUUGUUUUUGUUUUUUUUGAAAUAAAAGAUUGGGAUAACAUUUUUUUGUCCUGUCACUUCAUUACUCAUAGCUUAAGUCAAUUCUAGCCCCUUUUCCUCUUUUAUUUUCUUUCCUCUAGGUUCUCUUUCUUUUUAUUUGAGGCACCUUAACUUCUUCUCUUUAUAUUCUCUUCCCUUCUUAAUAGAAUCUUCUUCUCUGAAUAAAAGAAAGAAGAAAUGAAAUGUGGUUGUUCUAAAAGCUUUUACCUCAUAGUUAGUAGAUCCAAUCGUAUAAUAAACUGCCUUUUGUUUAUUGAGGGUCUAAGUGGGCUAGCUUUUCUUUAGAGAGCUUAUAGAUAGCUACUGUGCCAAAGAUUUCCUUUUAGAGAAAAAGAUAUCACUAAAAUCUAAUUAAAUGGAACAAAAAGAGAAAAGAGAUGUUGAAUAGAUGAGAGAGAGAGAGUCAAUGAAUAAAUGUGAAGGAAAAAAAGGAUUUUCAACACUUUAUAGUUUUGGAAUGCCCAUAACUGAAAAAUUGUAAAGCUCUUGUGCCACAUGACAUCUAAAGACUGUCAUUCCACAUGCUUCUGUAAAUAGUAUAGAUAUUAUCUUCAGUAUGGUGCCAAAACCAAGGUUAAUGUACCAAAAAAAGCACAGAGAUAAUAUUGUUAAGUAAAUUGUUGUGUCAAAAUCCUAGUAGAGAGAAAAUAAAGUUUGCACUUGUUUGGUCAAUCUUCCUAGAACCGCAGUCACUGGUAUCAACUGUCGUCUUUGCUGGUGGUCUUGUCCGAAGUCCAUGUCCCAUGCUCUGGCAGUUACCAAUAUGUGACUCAUGCACUACGUAUACUUGUUGCUGAAAUUAGAAAUUGACAUGAUUGAGUUGGCUGGAUUUUAACUUUUGUCAGGCUUGUUAUUACUUGGUUCAGAGUUGACGUAAUUUUCUAAUGAUUUAUGCUGGAGCGAGCUGCCUUUUUCUAUGUUAAAGCAUAGAUUUUUUUUUUUUUUGCUUUUAGCAAUUCUAGGUCUUUUUUUUUUGUUAAUAUGGUUCAGUUUUGUUUUUAGCAAUUUUAGCCCCUUUUAGACUGUUAGUAAGCAUGCUGCAAAAAGUUAUACGGAGACUAAAUUGGGGCCAUCUACAACAAGCAUCUAACUACCUGAAUAUCAUCCUCAGUCGAAUGGGAAUAGUUGAAUGCAAUGGGCUAAAAUUGUUCAUAAAGUACCUUAUAGAUAGGUAAACAUUUUUCGUUUUACUGAGUUUGGCACCAAAUGAUAAUUAGUCAAAACUAGAUGUUUGUCUACAAGAGGAUGGACAAACUAUGUCUCUAGUGGAAUUUCAUGGAACCUAAUGUUGUUUAUGUGUGCCUAUGUUGAUGUGUGCAAGAAAAUAUGAUAAUUUGUCAAGCUCCUGUAUGCUGGCAACAAGACUCCUCUCUAUGAUUUGUCUGUGGAGUUGUUUAUUGGAGGCAAUAUGAGAAGCCAAUACUUAAUAUUUUGUUGGCCUACAACUUUGUAGUUUAUGGUGGCGCCAGAGAGAAACAGGGUGCAGCAGUUUCCUGGGAACCGUGGGGAUCAUAUGGAGAAUGGCUUACGUAAUGACCAACCUAAUGCAGACAACUUAUUUCUUAGUGGCAUUAAACAACGACUACUUUCAUUUAUAUUCAGAGAGAUAUGGAAUGAAGAAACAGACCAGACCCUGGUUUGUCACUUGAGUCUCUUGGACUUGUUUAUUUUCCAAAUUUAAAUUUUUUGUUCAUUCAUUUCUUUCAUUUGGUCAGGGUUUAUUGUUUUCUUUUCUUAUUGCCAUCUAAUUUUUGAAGUUUUAAGAAAAGGUUUUUAGUUCACUUCUAAGACUUCAAGGCAAUAUAUCUUAUCUCCGCCGCAUCUCUUUGUUCAUUUCUUUUUGUCACAAUCUUGGAUUAUUUAGCACUCUUAUAUAUGAUUUAUGUAGCCUUUAUCUGUUUCGAGUCUCUUCAUUGAAGCUCCCAAUCAUCUUCUUCGAAUAUCAUAGCCUGUCCAAUUUACAAGAUUGCAGUUGGUAGAAGGUGCUAGUUGUCAAAGUAAGCUAUUGUACCUUGCAUUGACUUUGUUAGGAACAAAAUAGCUCCUUACCCUCUGGUUUACCAAAGAAGGAAAAAAAUUAAUAAUGCUGUGUAACCGCUUAUUUUAUGGGUGUUAGUGUUAUUGUUGUUGUGCAAUAAUCAUGUAAGUGUAUUAAAAUAAGUGUUAGAUGUGUAUUAGAGUGAGAAAUAAGUCUGCUCUUAAGACAAGGGCAGUUUAAGUAAUUCUGGAAUUUUUUUCCAGAAUUAACUGCUCCUCUUUGUACAUAUCUACUGCUGUGGGAAAACAAACGGAUGAUUUAUGAAAUUGUUCUUAAAUGAAGUGUACUUUUCUACUCUAGAGAUCGUAAGAUUCUUUAUAUCCAAUGAGCCCUAGUUAUUUUUUUCAUUUCUAUAGAUAUGUAAAGAUAGAAAAUCAAAGAAAAAUGUCUUUCUACUCAUUGAUUUCAUUGUGAAUCGUCAUAUAACACGAUCUUUAAGUGGGGACUGUAACAAUUUGGAGUCUUUUUUCUUUUUGAAAGGAAAAGAAUAAAAGGUAAUAAUUAAACAAGGUGCCAAGGGGUUUCUACUCAUUUGCUAAGGAAAAGCAUUUACCAACCAUUCAAGAUAUUAAUUCCUGAAAUCCUCCUCAGAAGUAGGAGGAUGAUCCUUGAACAAAAACAAAGCAUCUGGAACCACAGGUUCUCAAAAGCCCUGUGAUUCCUCUCAUUCUGGAUAACCCACAGGUAGCCAAGGGUCUAGAGAGUUUUUUUUUUUCUUCUCUUAUCACCUAAAGAUACCUAACCAAGCCCAGAGCUCAUCUGGGACCGGCCAGACAGUUGNNNNNNNNNNNNNNNNNNNNNNNNNNNNNNNNNNNNNNNNNNNNNNNNNNNNNNNNNNNNNNNNNNNNNNNNNNNNNNNNNNNNNNNNNNNNNNNNNNNNNNNNNNNNNNNNNNNNNNNNNNNNNNNNNNNNNNNNNNNNNNNNNNNNNNNNNNNNNNNNNNNNNNNNNNNNNNNNNNNNNNNNNNNNNNNNNNNNNNNNNNNNNNNNNNNNNNNNNNNNNNNNNNNNNNNNNNNNNNNNNNNNNNNNNNNNNNNNNNNNNNNNNNNNNNNNNNNNNNNNNNNNNNNNNNNNNNNNNNNNNNNNNNNNNNNNNNNNNNNNNNNNNNNNNNNNNNNNNNNNNNNNNNNNNNNNNNNNNNNNNNNNNNNNNNNNNNNNNNNNNNNNNNNNNNNNNNNNNNNNNNNNNNNNNNNNNNNNNNNNNNNNNNNNNNNNNNNNNNNNNNNNNNNNNNNNNNNNNNNNNNNNNNNNNNNNNNNNNNNNNNNNNNNNNNNNNNNNNNNNNNNNNNNNNNNNNNNNNNNNNNNNNNNNNNNNNNNNNNNNNNNNNNNNNNNNNNNNNNNNNNNNNNNNNNNNNNNNNNNNNNNNNNNNNNNNNNNNNNNNNNNNNNNNNNNNNNNNNNNNNNNNNNNNNNNNNNNNNNNNNNNNNNNNNNNNNNNNNNNNNNNNNNNNNNNNNNNNNNNNNNNNNNNNNNNNNNNNNNNNNNNNNNNNNNNNNNNNNNNNNNNNNNNNNNNNNNNNNNNNNNNNNNNNNNNNNNNNNNNNNNNNNNNNNNNNNNNNNNNNNNNNNNNNNNNNNNNNNNNNNNNNNNNNNNNNNNNNNNNNNNNNNNNNNNNNNNNNNNNNNNNNUUCAUUCUCUUAAGUUACUUAUUAAUAAGAUAUCAACAGCGUUUCUAGUUUUCUUCUUCAGAAGUAAUGUAGUAAUAUAAUGUUUCUAGUAUGAUUUUCUUUCCCAUUGGGAUUUUUUUAAAUUUUAUCUUAAGAAGCAUAUAAGAACAUGGAAGUUUUUGCACAUAGGGCAGAAUAGAGUCAAUAUCCUGUAAUUGUGGGAAUGAGAAGACAUUUAAUCGUAAUUAAUGCCACAAAGAGGGAAUUCGGCAAGUCGAGUGAAAUAUAGCAAAAGUGGAUUUGAAUUUCUGAUUCUUAGAUAUUAUGUUGUUCCUUCAAUUUCAACCUUGACUUCCUUGGUUAUUUACUUGGAUUAACUUCAGUUUUCAUAAAGCUUAAUAAAUCCACUUUUCUUUAUCCUCAAACUGGGCUCAUGAAUUGCCAAAUGACUUUUAUCUCCAGUAGGCUUCACUAUUAAUAUUGUGAUGUUUCGAGGAACUUUAAGAAAUAUAAACAUUAUUUCCUAAAGUGAAAUUGGAUAUUAUAUCAAUCCUGAAAAUUUUAGAGUUUUUAGAUUUCUUUAUAUCGACUUCAAAUCAUGUAAGACUUAGUUUUUAGAACAGAAUAUCUCUGUUUCCUAUAUUUAAAUUUCUAGAGAAAUACGUCGUUAUUUGCUCACUUUCAAGGAUUCAGGUAUCACGAAAUGCUGAUCAUCAUCCAGCAUUUUUUGCUGUAUAUAAUAUGGAGACAACUGAGAUUGUUGCAUUUUAUCAGGUAUUUGUUGGUGAAUCAAGUUAAUUUGUUUUCCUUUUGCUAUUAGUGGAACUUUUUUUUUUCUUCUGACAGUGAUAUAAUACGCUGCUUCCCCUAGAAUUCUGCAGAUGAGCUUUACCUCUUAUUUGAGCAGUACUGUGAUCACUUCCAUGCAGCAUCUGGAAAUUCCCUGCAUAUGCAUUUCAUAUCUACUCACUCAAAUAACGUUCAUGCUCUUGAGCAGCUGAGGUGCAUUAAGAACAAAGCUGGCAGCUUUACACAGGUUUAGUCAACGUAUUAUAUUUAUUCUUAAUCUUUUGUGGAUUUGCUCCAGAUUUCUAUUUUCUCUUCAGGUUAAAUGUGACAAUCAAAAUAUAUUUCUAAUGAUUACUGCCAUUAUUAUAUGGUUUCUCCUGCUAUAACUCAAAAAAUUGGCUGUUGUCAGUUUGUGAAGAAGAUUCUGGCAUCUUUGCCCUUCAGUUGCCAAUCACAGAGUCCAUCUCCUUACUUUGAUCAAUCUCUCUUUCGGUUUGAUGAAAAGGUUGGAUUCUCCAGAAUUUAUUUUCAAAUUUUUUCAGCAUAUUCUCUCUUAUUUUCUACUUGCUUUCUUGUAACAUACUACAAUACACUUAACUUGAAGCUUAUAUUUUAAGGUAACCUGUGGAACACGAUAACAGCUGAAGAUACCAUCUUUGAGUUUCUGGCUAAAUGUCCGAGGAUAGCAGAAAAUAUUGCCUAAUUUUAUGAAAGUUGCCAGAUCUAGUUGAACUCAAAUUCAUCAAGUUUCUAGUUUAGUUAGACUAAAUUUACAUGGUAAAACCUGUGGAGUUUUUGUUAUUAGAGAUUGUUGAAAGGUGGAUCAUUUUUCACUAAGAACUGGGUUAUAAGAUACUGGGACUAACUAUUGAGCUGCUCGCCCUUUGCUGCAUUUUAUGCUGAAAGCUCUCCUUGGGUCUCCCAGGUAGAUCUGAGGGCAGUUAUCAUGUGAGCUAGUUCUACCAAACAAGACAUUUUAAAAUAUUGGUGGAUAUCAUUAAGCUCGGAAACAAGUUUGGGAUCAGUGAACUCCUCUGAGGCCAUCUUAUAGAAACUGAACGUAACUGUGGUACAAAGAAAAAUGUUAUCUUAUUACUUGAUUAACAUUUAUAUUGAUGAAACUAUUUUAUGAUUGAUGGUUCAAUUGAGCAGCAGUCUGGUAGGUUCAGUUUGGAUUUGUUGCAGACACCAUGAUAUCUAUUGAAGUUUGGUUAUUUUCAUGCCCUGCUGUUACAGUUGAUUUCUGCAUUGGACCGGCAUAGACAAUCAGCAGAUCAUCCUAUCAAGUUUAUUUUGAGAAGGCAACCACACACACUUAAAUUUAAGAUCAAGACAGGUAUAGAAUUUCAUUGAGGUAUACUCUAGCUGAAGUCGUUUCAUCUCUUAAUUGCUUAUAAACUUAAGGACAGUCAUUUUAUGGAAACAAAAAAAGGGAAACGCUUGGGGAAGGUCAUUUUUGGAUCGAUUAUUUUCAUUUAUUUCACAUCUAAUUGGUUAAUUUGUAUGAUUGUGAGAGCUUCUAAGUGAAUUGAGAUGGGUGAUUAUACUGUGGUGCAAAGUUGUGAACUGAUUGGCAUUAAUCAAGAUCUCUGGGUUUCCUUUAAAUAUAUAUUUUUUGUUUAGGGCCUGAAACUGGCAGCGCUGAUGGUCGGAACAAAAAGAUAUGUUCAUUUCUUUUUCAUCCAUUUUUGCCCCUCGCUAUUUCCAUCCAACAGACCUUAUUCCUGCCACCAUCGGUUGUAAAUAUCCAUUUCCGAAGGUGAUCAACAAUUGGAGAAUUAACAAAGCUAAAUCCAAGACAGAUUAUUACCAGUAUUUUAUGUCAAUGUCAAUCAUCGUAUGGGUAAGUUUUGAUUAUAGAUUCUAGGGGGUGUUUACCCAGACGACCAGGACUGAGAUUUUCAGAAUUGGUCCAUGGUUGGCCAGCACAUCAGUUCCUUGAAUCUUGUUUAUGUAUAGUGAUGAUUGAUGAAUAAAAUUCUCUUCAUCACCUUGUUAUUUCUUCAGACAAAAUAUAUUAGUUUUCUGAUUCAAUUUGGAUUUUGGUUUGAGAAUACUACUGUAGAAGCAGAAGCCUAAAUGGAUCACGUGAAAAAAAAAAAGACCAUAUCAUGAUGGAUGGAAUUAAAUCAUGAACCCAGUUUAAAUUAACAGCAGAUUAUGAUAUCGCCUUCUGUUGCUUGAAUUUUUGAAUUUUUUAUUAUUUAAAUUGUGAUUUUUUUGACUAUUCAGUGCUAUAUGGUUUAAAUAUCACGUAUUGUUUUACGCAAAUCACUUGUGUUAUUAUUUGUUUUUUACUUUUAAGUUUUUAUUUAGCUAUAGUUCAAGUAUUAAGAAAUUCUCUCGUUUAAAAAAAUUAAAAAUUGAAUUUUAAGUAAUAUUUUCUUUAGAUGGGAUACGUGUUUAAUUCUGAAAAAAUAAUUCGUAAUAUUUAACUUUAAUAAAUUAUUUGAGUUACAUGCUAAGUAAUAAUUAGUAAUUGGAGAAUUUCUUAAAAGGUUUCAGAAAAAGAAAAAAAAAAAAAAGUGAAGAACGUAGAGGAGGAAAAUAUAAAUAGAGGGAAAAUGAGAAAGGAAAAGAUAAAACUAAAAGCACAGCCAGUCAGUCACAGGCUCCCUUCAUGCUUAUGUUCGGACGUCUACAAAAUGACCAAAUAACGAAGACUAAGAAUUAGAGGAAGCAGCGAGAUAGGCGGGGCAAGCAUGAGAGCAUUGGGGUUGGCACCAGCAGCGACGCUGUCAUUACGGCAGCACUGUGGAAUCGGACUCAGACUCAAUGCUUUCGCCGUUGGAGGAGGAGGAGGAAUAGAGGUGGGAGAGAUAAGAGAGAGGAGCAAAAGGUGGAUAUGGAAGGACAAAUUUUCCAUUAAUUACUUCUCUGCUUCUCCAGCUUCACAAACUAACACUCAGCAGCCUCGUCUUCCACCCGUUCUUCUUGUUCAUGGCUUCGGCGCCUCCAUUCCUCAUUGGCGCAGGUAGCAUUUUCUGGUUUCCUGGUAGCUUUUCGGCUUCUUCCAUGCAAAUAGCUUGGCAGCAGUUAAUGUUUCUUUGCGUCGCCAUGUCUCAACAGUAGAAUUUUUUAUUUCUUGCUUUCUUUUCUCGAUUCUAAGGUUUCUUGCGGUAUAAUGUUUGCUUGCUUGGCGAAUUUUUUGAUUGUCGACCUGGAAGUUGGCUCGAAUUUAAUAUACUUCCUGCCAGAUUUAUGGAUGAGAAGCUUGCUUAUGUCGGUUGCAAUCCCUUGUAGAUCGGAGUUUUAGCUCCAAUGUUCAUUUGCUUCUCACCGAUUAGGUGGAGAAGGGGCUUGCUGAUGUAGUUAUUAGUUAUAAUCCCAUGUCAACUUGGAGCUUUAUCUCUUCAAGAUGGAGCUACAUUACGUGGUGAAAGCAGCUGCGUCGGCUGAAAUUUAAUAUCAAAUAUAAAUUGUAUUAUAUAAGUAGCUGUAUUUCAAUUAGUUAACUAGUUUUGUGUUUGCGAGAUAGAAAGAGAAUACAAGACAUAAUCAUUGAUACAAUUAUGUAUCAAAAUUUGAAACUAGUUUACUGAAAAUAAAAGCAUAUGAUAUAUAAUAUAUGGUUAUCUAUCAAUAAUUCCAUCGGUUAAGCUAUAAGCCUAAUUACUAAUAUGUGUGAACUAAUAUAUGAUGUCUAGAAAACUGAUAAUAGAAUUUUUAAAAAAUCGACUUUAAGAAACUUGCCUGCAUGUUAUUUUCUUGAUCUGUCAUGUUUUAUCUCCAAUAAUCCUGUGCCCCCCAUCAAGGACAUGGGUUAAUCCUUUUGGUUGUCUUGCUUCAGGAAUAUUGGCACUCUAGCCCAAACGCACAAUGUUUAUGCCAUUGACCUUCUUGGCUUUGGUGCUUCGGAUAAGCCACCAGGUUUUUCCUAUACCAUGGAGACAUGGGCUCAGGUACUCUUUUUCUUUUUACGCAAAUGUUUGUUUUACCUUUUUCUUACAUUUGUAAAUGCCAAUAUUAUUCCUUUUGAGCCUGAAAGUGACGACUUGCAGCUCAUACUUGACUUCUUGGAACAAAUUGUUCAAAGGCCAGCUGUUCUGAUAGGCAACUCUGUUGGAAGUCUUGCUUGUUUGAUUGCUGCCUCAGGUCAGGUCUACCGUUUUUCUUUUUGCCCUUGGUGACAUUCACUUACUCUGAUGUAUCUACUUAUGGACAAUUGAUAUUUAUUCUAUCUGUUUGUUGUUUAUGUCCAACAAGAAGAAUCCAGUUCAAGUCUGGUGGCAGGUCUAGUGCUGCUAAAUUGUGCGGGUGGCAUGAACAAUAAGGCCAUUGUGGAUGAUUGGAGGAUUAAGUUAUUGUUACCUUUGCUCUGGUUAUUUGAUUUCUUGUUGAAGCAAAAGGUGAUUGCGUCGGCAAUUUUUGAGCGAGUGAAACAAAGGUAAGCUUCUGUCUAUUUUUCCACUAAAAAUAUUUUUGCAUUCCAUUUCAUCUGUUAUCAACUUAAAUAAUAACAUAUUGAUCACUCAAGCUCUUUUAUGCUGCACUUUGAAACAAAUCUCCUUUAUCUAUGGAUAAUGCAUGCAGGGAUACACUGAGGAAAAUUCUAUCGUCUGUUUAUGGGAACAAGGAAUCCGUGGAUGAAGAACUGGUAGAGGUAUCAAUUUAUCCUCUUUCCUCAUAGACUAUUGACCAUGACUGACUAGGUCAAUUUAAUUAGACAUGGUUAAGAGUUUUGUUUAUGUUUCUGGAUGCAGAUCAUUAGUGAACCAGCAAAUGAUGAGGGGGCACUUGAUGCAUUUGUUUCCAUUGUGACAGGGCCACCUGGGCCAAAUCCUGUGCAACUUAUGCCCAGAUUAUCAUCCUUACCAGUUUUAGUUUUGUGGGGUGAUCAAGACCCUUUCACCCCUCUUGAUGGGCCUGUUGGUAAGUACUUUGCUUCCUUACCCUCACAUUUCUCCAAUGUUAGCCUCUUCGUGUUAGAAGGAGUAGGACAUUGUCCCCAUGAUGACCGACCUGACUUAGUCCAUCAAAAGCUGCUUCCGUGGUUGGCUCAUCUUCCUCUUUCAUAAAUCACGAAACAUAAAUUUGCAUAACAUUCUUUCUUAUUACAAUCUUUUUCUAGUUGAUCAAUAUAGUAUAUGUAAAAUGUAGCUAUCUAAUUUAUUUGGUUUAUUCCUCCAUAGUACAAAUUACUAUGCCUCUAAAGCCACAUUAUUUAGUAUGUAAUCUGAAUCAGGAGUAAAUAAAUGGUGUUCCAAAGAGCACAAUUAGUUGGAAGAUCCUAUCAAUGUAUUGAUUCAUUUCAAAACUUUUUCAGAAAAUUGACAGAACAAAAAUUUCAAAGUGAACUCACAUUUAUAGGAUCUUUAAAUUCACCUAUUCUUCCAGAGCACAUUAUUUACAUUUAAAAAUGAAAUAGCUAAACAAUCCAUAGUUUCCAUCCUUUUAUAUCAAAUGCUUGAUAAAACUAAGUAAAUUCACCUUCAAAAAUUUCCAGCAAUUUCCCAAAAGAAAUCCAAAAGCUCUAAUUCAACAGGACAAAUUGGAGCAAGGGACCGAAAAUAAAAACAUUCAACCAAUCUUUAAGGUUUGUGUAUUCUUCGAGUUCUGUGUCCUUGCUUCUAAGUCAAAAGCACAAGAUAGAUUCUACCAUAACCGAGCAAGAAACUAACUAGUAGGCUCUUGCUUCUUUUUGUGUCCUUGCUUCUAAGUCAAAAGCACAAGUAUGUGUCCUUAUAGCUUAGUGAAACCUUUAAACUUUCUGCUUGCAUGUGCAGGACAACCUCUUUGGGGUUAUAAAUUUUUACAACCUCUUUAGGGUUAUACUCAGAAAAAUGAAGGCCUUAGUUGUCUAUAUAGCUUCCAACAGUCCAAAGCUCAAGUCUAUACAUAAACAUUCAAUGUCAAAGAUUAAGAUGGUAAUUAUCUGAAAACAGAAACGACUGCAUAUAAGCAGCUCACAGCUUUCACUUUAUGUCUUGAGUAUAGCCUGUAAAGAGUUUGUAUAUAGACUUGAGUUUUUGGCCCGUUGAAAGCAAUAUGAUUUAGGAGUUGGAGAGAAAGAGAGAAAAGAAAAAAGAAUGAGGAUAGUCGAAAGGAAGAGAAAUGAAACUAUUUUCCUUUUUCUUGUUUAGAUGCUGAAAAAAUGGAAGACUAAAUUAAAGAGAAAAAUUAUUUAAAGUUUUCUAGUUAUUGGGUAAAAAGAAAAUAUUUAUUUUUGUACUUUUAUCAGUAAUUUAGCAUUUUUACUAUGUUAGUUCAAUUUUUCAUCUUAUUUGACUCCAAUGUAGAGGAAUUGCAGUGUUGAUAGAGUGAAAGAAAAUGAAGGGGUAAACCUUUUCUCUUUUCUUCAAAAACUAACCUCCCCUCUGAUUUCCUCGGUCUACCUCCAUCCAAACAUAAAAAGAUUAGAAAAAACUUGAUUUCUCCUCUAGGAAACUGCAACUAUAGGCGCUAAUCACUGUUUUUCCUUCAUUUCCAAUCAGCAUGCAGUUAGCUUCCUUGAACAAUCACAUCCUGAUGCGUGUUUAUAUGUCUCCUGUACUAAUGCCACUGUGAGAGGCAUUAAAAACUUGACUGAGCUCCACUCCUGAGGAAUAGAUACACACACACACACACACACACACACACACACACACACACACAUCAAACAGGAUCCAGAAUUUUGUUCGUAAUUAUCUGAUCUUUGCCACUUUCAUGGAUAUUGCAAGAGAUUUGUAGGGCAUUCUUUAUUUUUCUUUAUUUUUUUUCUUCAGAAUAUUACUCAUUCUUUUGGCCGUCCUGGUGUUUCUACGCUUAGGUUCUUCAUGCUUUCUUAGACUUUUUUGCUAAGUGACUGAGUCAAUUGGAUUGGACUUAAUGUGACCAGAGGGAACAUAUCUCAGCCAAAAGUAGAUAUUUUUAGUCCAUGUUUACUGAUAUGCUACUUCUUGAGGAACAUAUAUGUUGCAUGAUUUUUAAGUAAUAACAAAAAUAUAAAUUAUAGGUAGAUCUAUUAAUCGUUUAUUUUUAGACAUAUAUUAGCAUUUGAAUUGAGCUCUACUUGUGUGUCCUAUUUUUUUAUUCUUUAAGAUUUGAAUCUGAAAAAGAAAUUUUGCAAGGAAGUAUUAGCCUAAUUAAAAUUAUUCUCAUUCUACUUCUAAAUUUUAAUUUUUUGGUAUAUAGAAUCUAUUAGUUAUUUAUUUAUGCGUAACUAUAAAGGAGUCAUAUACUCACAGAAAUAACUAACUAAAAUUAGACAUAAAAAUUAGGAUAAACUUAUAAUUGUUAUUUAUAUUUGAAUAUCUUUUAUUUAUAUUAUUUAUUCACAUUGGAAAAAGAGAAAAUUUGAACAUAACGUUUGUAGCUUAAAGAUAAUUUGUGAAUUCUUGGUGUUAGAUCAGCCAAUUGUUGGUUCUUUUUUUUUUUUUUUUUUUUGGGAAGUAUCCAAUUCUUGAGUUAAUUGUAGAAUACCAACGCCAAAGUAAUUAUAUGAAGAGUGCAUUUUGUAUAAUAAAUUUUCUGUUAAUAUAUACAUUUUUUUAAUUAUUAGUAUAUUAUUUCAAGAUUGCAUUUACUGUUACUUCAAUUCUUUUCUUUCAUUAAUAAAAGAAUAUUAAAACACUAAUAUUUAUUUAUGGUGCAAAAUAAUCUAUCACCAUAGGAAAACGUUGUAUAGGUUUAUUUUAAUAACUAGCUAUCAUUUUAGUGUAUUGUUAAGUUGCACAAGUUGGGAAGUUGACCUGAGGAAUUAUUUGCACAAGUUGAGUGGAGAAUAUAUAUGGUGAGUUUUGCAUGUCAUGCAAGGUAGAAUUUCAUCCACAAAUCAAAAGCUGGCAUGUAACCUAAAAUUUAUAUAUAUAUAUAUAUAUAUAUGCACAUAUAUAGAUAUAUGGAUGGCAUAUUAAUUUCAAAAGUAAAACUAAAUUAUAGGAAUGAAAAUUCAAACGUGGUGCUUUAUGAUAAGGAAGCAUCAAUUUAAACCUGAUUCUCUUGACUUUUUGCUUGGACAUUAUAUAAUAUUGAGAUUUGCUAGAUGAAGUGUAAUAUUAACAGUACCAGUGGCGGAAGAAACUUUUUUUCCAUUAUUAUUAUUAUUAUUAUUAUUAUUAUAUAAUUAAUAAUAAUAAGAAUAUGUGUCUGUGAUUUAUGCGAGUUAGUUGAGUUGGUAGAAAAAAGCUGCAUUAUGUUCUUUGGCACUUUAUGUUUUGAUUUUUUAAAUAGUGAUUCGGAAGUAAGAUUCUAAAUUUAACACCUCAAUGUGAGUCUUAAAAUAUUGAAUAAUAAUGAGUAUUUUCUUGUGAUCUUGUAUUGAAAUCUACUUGAGACUAAAGCUGUUCUUGUGUGAUCUUAAGAGCAAAGAAUUCUUGUAUUUAUCUACUGUAUUCAUAAUAUUACUAUUAUAAUACUAUAUAUAAAGACUUGAAUUUUAAUUGACAAAGACUGAGAUAAAUACUUUUUUAGUUAAUAAUUAAACUAGCUGUUAGUAGUUACCAUCCAUCGUUUGAGUCAAAUUAUUCAUUUCUGUGUGUAAUUGUUAGAAAAUUAAUUGCAUUAUUUUAUUAUUAAAAUGUUAAUUAUAUUAUUAUUAGUGUGUAAAGAUCAUCAAAUUAUGAAGAUAUAAAAAAUUUCUAGUAAAAGAAACAGCCAUAGUAGUUCUUUUUAACUCUAGUAGUUAAUAUGGUAUGUGGAAAUACUUUCUAUACCAAAAAGUUGAGCAGAGAAUAUAACACCACCUUUUUGCUUCGAUUUAGUUCUCUGCCAGUCACAAAUAAAUGGCAGAAUGCAUAAUCUUCACUAAAAAGCUAUAGUUGCCAAAAGAAAGAAAUAAGAGAAAGUCAACUAUAAUACUAGCUUUCUUUGUGAUCAUAUGUAUGUAUGUGUGUAUAUGUAUGUAUGUAUGUAUGUAUGUAUAUAUAUGUGUGUGUGUGUGUGUACAUAUAUAAUCUUAACAAAUAGGAACAGAGUUAGAUGCAGGGGAAUCCUAUCCUAUUCUUAAAGAAUGAGGUUCUUUUCCCCCCACCAUGAAACCCUCUUUUGCUUCGUUGACUCCUCUCCUGUUUUGUGUUAGUUAUUUUGUUUUGUUAGGAUACAAGCAGGAAUGACAAUUGACAAAAUGCUAACUUUGUAAAAGGGUUAAAUUUAGGAUUAACUAUAAUUUCUGUUUUGUUUGAGUCUUAUUACAAUUUAAAUUAUGCGAGAUAAUAAUUCAAUAUUUUGUAGUUUGAAUAUUUUGGCAUUUUAUAUAGAAAUAUUAUUAUCUUAUAAUUUUUCUUUGAAUAUUUUUUUUUUUAAUUUAGCUUCAAACUAUUAAAGAAAUAAGCAUGUAAUGUUGAUCGAUGUGUACUCAUGGUAACAAAAUAUGUUCCAAUUAAGAUGUUAAUAAGAUAAGAACACGUGUCAUUAUGAGAUUGAAACAUAUCCCUAAAAGAAUUAUAUAUGUAUAGAUAUGGUAUUGUCACUUAUUAGCAGGAAAUCAAUCUGUAACCCAAAAGUUCACAGAAGAGUCUUGUAAGGCACUCUUUGAUUUUGUUGCUUGCUUUCCGUCAACACGAAGAUAAAAAUCUUCAUUUCUUAAUUAAUUAAUUAAUUAACUAAUCAUGAUUUGAGAGGAGAAUCCAAGGCCAUACUACUUCAACUUUCUAAUUUAUCUAUACUUUUUGGGUGUUGGGGCCUAUCUAAUAAUUCUAAUUGUGUGAUUAACCGUUACCUAAAAUUGUGUGAUAAAUCAAAAUAUAUAAGAUUAAUUACUAAGAAACAUCAUUUACAUGUACCUAUUUAAUGUAUUCACUUGAGGGCGACCAGCCUCUAGCUUUUGUCUUGAAAAAACACGACUACAUUUACAUUUAUAUGAUAUAUAAACAUAUAUACAUAUAUUUAUAUACUCUUGUGUGUGUGUGUUUAUCUUCCUUUUCCCUUGAUAUGGUACAUACAAAUAGUACAUGGUGCCUCUAGCUUAAUUGCAUCGUCGUGAAAAUUUCAACACAUCGACCUCGUAUAUGGUCUUCUAGUGAAUUUCUUACUAGUACCACCAGCCUUCUGUAUUAUCAAUUAAUCCGUGCUUUGUGUUCUGGUGAUCAGUACAGAAAAUGGCAUUGUGCCUUCCGUAUACUGUCACGUACGAGGUAGGAAUUUAAUUAGAGCAUAAAAUUAUUAUUUUAGUCUUUGUGUUAUGCAUAUGUUAUAUUUAGCAUUCAAAAAACUUAUACAUUUUUUAAAAUUUAUAAAAUUGUAGUAGUCUAUAAUAUUUUUAUACAUUUAUGAAAAUUUUGACAAAAAAAUGAUACAGGUUAUUUAUGUUUUGUUCAUAUUUUAUUUUGAAUGAAGUUCAAAAAUUAUAAAAAUUAUAAGUUUAGUUUUAAUAAACUUAAUAAAAUUAUUAAUUUCUUUUAUUUAAGUAAUGUAAAGAAUAAUACCAUACAUUUAAAAAGUAUAUGUAAUAAUUAUUUUUUAUUUUUUGAAUUUAUAAUCUUAAUUAGAAAUAUUAUAUUUUAAAAUUAUUUUUUUAUUACUCAGUUCCUAUUUUUUAUGUUUGUAAAAAAAAGCUCUAUAAAAAAACGUAUUUUAAAAUCAUUUUAUAAAUUUACAAAUUAAUUUGUAACCAAAUUGAGAAAAUAAAUUGGUAAUUUGCCUUUAAUUAUGUUAAUGUUUGUCUUGAUAUGAUGAAUUAAAAAAAAUCUAGAUUUGGUUCCUUCUUAAGUAAUUAACAAAUUAAUCUCUGCCUCCCUCUCUCUUAUUCCUAAUCCAUCUAUAUAUAUACGUAGAUGUAUAUAAUUGUGCAUACACAGAAAUAUUAUAGAGAAGAAAAUCAAUUAUGGUAAUGGGGUUUAGAAUCCAAGCCAAGCUCCGGCAAGCUCUUGGCUCGGUCAAGGACCAUGCAGCCAUCGGCAAGGCCAUGAUAUACAGCACUACUGGUCAAUACGACGGCAAAGAUUUUUCAGAAAUAGAGAUCGCAGUCCUCCGUGCCACCGGCCACGAUAAUGGCCCGAUCGACGAUAAACGUAUGCACGAGAUUCUCUUUCUGGUUUCCAACAGUCCCUCGCCGGCUGCCUCCGUCGCAUUUCUCGCCGAACAGCUCUCUCGCCGGCUCGCCAAGACCAAAGACCCGCUAGUCGCCCUCAAGACUCUUCUGCUUAUUCAUCGUCUCCUCCGCGGCGGCAACCGCUGCUUCGAGCAGCAGAUCCGCAGCGCUCAUGUCUCUGGCCAUCUCCAAAUCAUCACCUACCAUCAAAAUCUUGAUGAUGAUCAUCAUCUCCUUGUUGCUUUCCUCCAAAAGUAUUCAGCUUAUCUGGAACAGCGAGUGGGUUGGCUCAUCAAUCAAGCCGGGAAGCUCGAACCAGCUGCUGCUCCUUCUGCUGAUCUCAUCCCUCAAACUCAAUUCAGAUCAUCCCACGAUCAUAACAACUACAUCAACAUGGUCUUCCGGAGAUUACCCAAGUGCCAAGAAUUCUUAGAAACCGUCUUGAACUGUUCGACGCCAAUAUUAUCAUUUACUUCCUUGCCUUUCCACCAGAACUCGGCGGCGCAAGCGGCCAUGAGCAACACCUUGAAGGAGAGUUUCCAAGUCUACGUGACGUUUUACGAAGGCGUCACGGCUUUACUUAAUAUGUUCUUCGACCUGACAAGGCCCGCCAAGGCUUUAGCCUGUGAGAUUCUCAAGAAAGCCGCUCGACAAACCCAACAACUUGACGAGUUUUACCAGAGAUGCAGAAAGGUUGUCCAUAACAAAAGUUUGGAUUACCCCUCGCUACAAGUCAUCUCCAUGGAUCAUGUUCUGGCAUUAGAGCAUUGCUCUAAUAUUCCUCCGGCACCUGCCACCAUACUUUCCGAUCACCAGCUUCACUACUCAACAACUAAUAAAUUCCCAGGUAGCGUAAAUAUCAUUCCCGAUGAUAUAAAUAACGCGAGUUAUGAUUCCAGUACUGGUUUGGAUUUUAGUUUCUCGUCUACUGCUACUCUUUUUCCGUGUACGCUGGAUACCAAGAUUAGCAUGGUGUGGGUUGUGUUCGAAGAUGAUGAUGAUGAUAAUCAUCAGAAGGGAUUAUUGCAUCCUCCCCACGAAAAUGGUGAGUGAAGUAGCAUCAAUGAUCCAUCAUUAUGAAUACUUGUCCUUUUGUUUAAAGAAUUCAAUGAAUGCUUACAGAAUUAUUACUCAUCAUGAUGAUCAUAGUCGGGAUUGUGAAUACUUAAUUCAGAGGAUUUACAUGAGCCUCUUUAAAAUUAACUAGACUUUUAGUUGGUAUUUGCAAUUUAAUAUUAUAUAUAUAUAUUUUUAGCAUAACUAUUUCAAUAAUUAAAUAGGAUAUAUAUUAAUAGUGUAAUUAAUAAUACAAUAAUAUUCUAAAAUAGGAUGUAUAAUCUAACUCAGUUUCUACCAUCAUAAAAAUAUACGGAAGUGUAUAUAAAAGAAUUCAUCUUUUUUUUUUUUGUUGAUUAGUUAAUUUGAUGAAGUAUAAAUUUUAUAAUUUGUAUAACUGUAAUUUGAAAGAAACUAGGAAGGGGCACCAGUGAUAAAUAUAUAUAUAUAUAUAUAUAUAUAUAUAUAUAUAUAUAUAUAUAAUAAGGAGUAUGAUCUUGUUGGAAGGAUUAAUCAGUGGGACAAUCUCAUAUUCACAACUGAGAGAAUAGUUGUGGUUGUGGUUAUAAGUAAAAAUAGGUGAGUGUGAGUUACAAUUACAAGGGUAUGAGGAAUGCAGAUAACUGUAAUUGAUUUAUUUUAAUUCUUUUUAAAAAAAUUUAUGUAGUAAACGUUUCAAAUGUAAAUGUAAUUGAUUCAUUUUAUUUUUUAUUAUUUAAAAUGAAGAAUCAUAUUUAUAAAAAUUUUCACUCUUCUAUACUCAUACGUAAAGUAUGUAUUUACUAUAAAUACUUUAUUAUUUUAUAUUACUGUAUGUAUUGUUAAUUUAAAUUAAGAUGAAGAUGGUAGUUAAAUAAGUUUGUAAAAUUAAAAAACAAGAAUAUAAAAAAUUAGAAAUGAAGUGUUUAUUUUUGUCCCACAUUUAACAAUUUAAUAAGUAUUCUCAAUCCAGAACCAAACGAGGAUUUGAAUUAAAUAUGUUAAUAUUUUAAUUUUGGUUUAUAUUUUUUUUCUUCAAAUUUUAAGUUUUAAUCUUAUAUUUUUUUUUUAAAAAAAAAUUUAAUAUUGCUUAAUUUUGAUUAAUUUCAAUUUAUAUUUGUUGGAUUUGGAAACAUAUCAAAAUAGAUUCGUUUUUUAAUUCUCUACUACUUAGAUUGAGUAUCUUAUCAAUUAUUAUUUCGAUUAAACUAAGAUACUUAAUAACUAAAAAUAAAAACAUUAAAACAAAAUGCUUUUAAAGUUGAUUAUAAGUAUGAAAAGAAAUUUCAAACACAAUUCAAUUUAGAUAUAAACAAUACAAACUAAAAAGAGCUUAAUGAUUUAUUAAUCAAAUUACUUUUUUCUUUUACAAAUAUUUAUAAUAAAAUCUUAUCCCAUCUCGGACUUUUGAAGGAAAGCGUGUUGAUCCAAAAUGUCUAAUCAGUUCUUGACGUGCAACUGAAAAGAUAUAUUGGUUGAAUUUGAUGGAUUGGAUAUUGUAAUUAACGUUCAGAAAAUUUGAUUUUGCAAUUCCACUUAAUAAAUAUGAUUGCUUAUAAUUAAUUACACAUAUUAAAUUAAUUAAAACAGAAAAGAGAAAAUAUGAUAGAUAAAUGUAGAUGAUAAUACAGAUGUUAUAAUUAAGAUUAGAGUAAAUUAUUAAAUUAAUUCAUAAAUUUUGGUUAUAAAAUUAGUUGUUAAUUUUCUUGUUACAAUUUAAUCUUUUAAUAUAUAUAUAUAUUUUAAAUAAUUAAUUCUUUUUUAUUUUUAAUAAACAAUUUAAAAUAAUUAAGACAUAUACUUGUACGCUUUAAAAAGUAAUUUAAAAAUUAUUUUCAAUGAUUAAUUAAAUUAAUAACAAUAAAAUUAUAUUUAGUAUCUUUAUUAUCUUAAUUAAUUAGUAAAUUAUGUUUUUUUUUUUUAUGCUAGAAAAGGAAAAUCAUAACAGAGUGUACCAAGUAUUUCUUUUGAGUUAUUUUCUAAAAAUUAUAUAAAUAUAAAUUAAUUAUAUUAUAUUUUUAAUUAUGAAAUAAAAAAGCUGAUAUUUAAAAAAGUAAUUUUAACAAAAGGAAAAAAUAUAUUAAUACCAAACUAUACAUAAUAAGACUCAAAUUUUAAGAUUAGAAGCAUAAUUUGCACUUGAGAUUACAUAAGGUAAGUCAAUAAUGGCUACUAUUAGAAAUGUUUGAUGAGUCGUCCAUAUCUGAAAACUGGAAAUCUAGCUCCGGCGGCCAAUAGUACUGUACUAACUGAUCAUGAUGGUGAUGGCGGUGAUCAUGGUGAUCUGAGAUGGGUUGGGGAAUUGGUGGACUAGUAAUAACAGUAGUAGAUGAUGAAGAAGGAGCUACAGUGGGAAUGGGAUCAGAAGGGUCAAGGGCGAGUUUCAGACCAGCAAUCAGAAACCUUUGAUGGGCUAAGCCGUACGGACUGUUCCUGUGAAUAUCCUCAUCACAAUCCUUACACACUAAUUUCCUGUCUUCCAAACAGAAAAUAUACCCUUUCUUCUCCUGCAAACAUUUUAUGUUUCCAUCCAUAUAUGUUAUAUGCCAUACCAUAUAUAUAUAACCCAUUGUCUAUAUUGAACAAAAUUUUAUAAAUAACCCAAUUCUAAAUAAAAUUUUACCAAGAAAAUAAUGGGUCUUACGUAAUUGUGUGUGUGUAUAUAUAUAUAUAUUAUAAGUAAGGUAAUUAGAAUAUUACCGGGCAAACGUCGCAUGGAGGAAGUUGAUGGGGUUGAUUAAGGAGCGAGAGACGGUGAUGUCUCUGGGAAAGCUUGUUGGCUGUAUGGAUUUUCUGGUCACAUCCCCUGCAAAUAACUGCUUCAUCCGCACAGCACAGAAUCCCCCCCUCCGCCUUCCCGCACGCCUCGCAUUGUAUCUUCAUUAUAUUCUUCCUUUCUAUGUAUAUAUAUAUAUAUAUAUAUAUAUUUUUAUCUAUAAAUAUCUCUUCCCUGCCCUCCUCUGUAUAUAACACUAUGACUUAUACAUAUGUAGAGGGCUAAUGAAGAAAAAUUAGAGAAAUACUGAAAUAUCUCAGCCACCACCGGCACUGCCUGCAAAUACAUCAACUUGAUCUAUAAAUGCAUGUCAUGUGUCUUGUUCUUUUUUAUCUCAAUUAACUUCGUAGCAUGCAUACAUAGAAGAUAUAGGCUGUUGCCGUUGACACUAAGCCGAGUAUAUAAUAAUAACUACUGACACCUACAUUCAUCAACUCUUUCACUCUUCUAUUAAUAUUAUUACAUUUUCUAUUCAUAUAUAAUAAUUGAAUUGUAAGUCAGAUUUUAAAAUUUGAAUUUUUUAUAGUGAGAUUGUGAAAUUUUUUCUUUCAUAAUUUAAAUUGUUGUCUUGGCGAAACUUAGGAGAUUAAUUUAUUGAUAAAUAUAUGUCACAAUAUGAGAAAUUAUUACAUUAGUAUUUAAAUUUAACAUUUAUUAUAAUUUAACGAUGAAAUAAUAGAAUUAAAAAAAUGUAUGCACUGUAAAAUUAAUGGAGAAGUUAAUUAAUGAAAACAGUGGUAGGUGGGUGUUGCUGUCCGUGUCCUGAAAAAACAAAAAAAAAGUGAGUAGUGUGGGCAAGCAGCAUCCGCCAUGGACCACCCAAAUUGAAGUGGAUUGAGAUUUGUUUUCUUCUUCCCUUUUGUCAGAUAAAUGGGCAUGUCCAGAUCCAUCGAUGAUCCUAGAAACUCACCCAUCCAUCUUCCUUGUUUUACUUAUAUAUAAAAACGUUAUAAAUUAAAUAUUAUGAAUAAAAAUUUAAUAAAUAAAAAAUUUAAUUACAAAUUUUUAUAAUAUUAAAAUAGUGUAUCCGAAUUUUAGGAAUUUUUUUUUUUCUUUUGUCAAUGAUCAAAUAUAGAAUCACCACGACAAGAAUUGGUGAUUUCUAUGAAGUUAAAUUUCAAUAUGAUCUCAAAUUGGAAGUCACUUUAAUUUCAAUCACCCGUUAUAAGGUAUACAUUCAAUAUUGAAGAUGUUUAUUUGCAAAAAAAAAAAAAAGAGAGAAGGAUAUCUGACUAGAUAAGUGGACCGGUGAAGAUCCAAAAUUUUAAAUAAAAUUAAAUUGUUCGUGUCGUGGUUGAUUAAUUUCAUGACAAAUGAUAUCGGUAAAAUUUUUUAAUUGUACGAGACAAUACACAAAAUUUGAAAAACAAAUAAGAAAUUCUACUCAGAGCAGAAAAAGCACAUAUAAUAUAUAUAUAUAUAUAUACAUAAAUUCUACUAAUAAAUCUUUAAUAUAUCACUAUUUAUAUGAAAAGUUGAACUACGUAUUUUUAUAUAUAUUUAUUAGAAGAUUGAAAUACGAUGAAUGGUUAGGUAUCAAUUAAUAUAUUUUUACUAAUAUAUAUAUAUAUAUACACGUAUAUCCUUAAUAAAUAUCUUUCUUUUUAAGGCCUUUUUGUUUAGAGUCUAAUUUAUUUCUUAAAAGCCAGUAGCGGUUCACUCCAGCAAAUGCCGGCAAAAGACACAACACCUAACGAAACACAACAAAUGGAAGCACAAUGGGCCUGGCCCAACAUCAUAAAAGGCCUGAAUAAAUAACUAGUCCUCUGUCUUCGUCUUGAUCUUUCAAGAACCUUUGCCACCUAGAACGUUCUUCAUCUCUCUAAAAAAUCUUCCUUACACACAAUAGAAUUUUAAAGAACCUUCUGCACACAUCUAUAGAUCUCUUCUUACGUGUAUAUAUAUACACACACAUGCAAGCCUAUCUUCAAGGCAUGUGUCACAGCAUUAGUAAUCUCCGGUGACGACAUUCUCCUCUGUCAGAAUAUCAAAACAAGCAGACAACACAGCUCAAAACCAUCAAGAAGAGAGAAGAAGAAUGAAGGGGCGCUCACUUUCCAUUUCCAGCCUCCUGCGAGUCCUUCUGCUGGUCUCACCCUUCCUUGUUUCAACCGAUGGGUCCUUGUUACCAAUCAUUGAUCGUCCAGGCAGUCUGCUCUCCGAUCUUUGGCAGGACAACUUUCCCGAUCCAUUCCGAGUUCUUGAACAAAUCCCACUAGCUCUUGAAAGAGCAGAGAGCAGGGCACUUUCUCCGGCGAGAGUAGACUGGAAAGAGACACCGGAAAGUCAUGUGAUCAUGCUCGAUGUGCCGGGAUUAAAGAAGGAGGAGCUCAAGAUUGAGGUGGAUGAAAACAGGGUGCUGAGAGUGUGUGGAGAGAGGAAGAAGGAAGAAGAGAAGAAGGGAGAUCAAUGGCACAGAGUGGAGAGAUCAUAUGGAAAGUUCUGGCGGCAGUUUAGGCUGCCGGAAAAUGUGGACUUGGAUUCAGUCAAGGCCAAGCUUGAGAAUGGUGUCUUGACCUUGUCAUU
rnacentral:lncRNA from 1 species